rnacentral:rRNA from 1 species
GCGAACGGGUGAGUAAUGCAUCGGAACGUGCCCAGUCGUGGGGGAUAACUGCUCGAAAGAGCAGCUAAUACCGCAUACGACCUGAGGGUGAAAGCGGGGGACCGUAAGGCCUCGCGCGAUUGGAGCGGCCGAUGUCAGAUUAGCUAGUUGGUGGGGUAAAGGCCUACCAAGGCAACGAUCUGUAGUUGGUCUGAGAGGACGACCAGCCACACUGGGACUGAGACACGGCCCAGACUCCUACGGGAGGCAGCAGUGGGGAAUUUUGGACAAUGGGCGCAAGCCUGAUCCAGCAAUGCCGCGUGCAGGAAGAAGGCCUUCGGGUUGUAAACUGCUUUUGUCAGGGAAGAAAUCUUCCGGGCUAAUACCCCGGGAGGAUGACGGUACCUGAAGAAUAAGCACCGGCUAACUACGUGCCAGCAGCCGCGGUAAUAC